GACGAACGCUGGCGGCGUGCUUAACACAUGCAAGUCGAACGGAAAGGCCCUGCUUUUGUGGGGUGCUCGAGUGGCGAACGGGUGAGUAACACGUGAGUAACCUGCCCUUGACUUUGGGAUAACUUCAGGAAACUGGGGCUAAUACCGGAUAGGAGCUCCUGCUGCAUGGUGGGGGUUGGAAAGUUUCGGCGGUUGGGGAUGGACUCGCGGCUUAUCAGCUUGUUGGUGGGGUAGUGGCUUACCAAGGCUUUGACGGGUAGCCGGCCUGAGAGGGUGACCGGCCAAGUUGGGGAUGGGAUGCGGCCCAAGAGCCUCGGGGGGGAUGGGGGGGGGAAUGUUGGAGAAAUGGCGGAAGGCUGAUGCAGGAACGCCGGUGGGGGGAUUAUGGGCUUUGGGUUGAAAACCGGUUUACGCUUGUGAGAAGCGGUGGGAGGGGUAAAGGGAAAAAAGCCCCCGGCAAAACACG
rnacentral:rRNA from 1 species